rnacentral:tRNA from 1 species
AGUUCAGAAGCGAUAUACGCGUUAAGUUUCGGCCUUAGAGUAGAGGAUUACCUCCUGAAUUU